rnacentral:rRNA from 1 species
CAGCAGCCGCGGGAAUACAGAGGGUGCGAGCGUUAAUCGGAUUUACUGGGCGUAAAGCGUGCGUAGGCGGCUUCUUAAGUCGGAUGUGAAAUCCCUGAGCUUAACUUAGGAAUUGCAUUCGAUACUGGGAAGCUAGAGUAUGGGAGAGGAUGGUAGAAUUUCAGGUGUAGCGGUGAAAUGCGUAGAGAUCUGGAGGAAUACCGAUGGCGAAGGCAGCCAUCUGGCCUAAUACUGACGCUGAGGUACGAAAGCAUGGGGAGCAAACAGGAUUAGAUACCCCAGUAGUCCCUGUCUCUUAUAC